AGCGAACGCUGGCGGCAGGCCUAACACAUGCAAGUCGAACGAAGUCUUCGGACUUAGUGGCGGACGGGUGAGUAACACGUGGGAACGUGCCUUUAGGUUCGGAAUAACUCAGGGAAACUUGUGCUAAUACCGAAUGUGCCCUUCGGGGGAAAGAUUUAUCGCCUUUAGAGUGGCCCGCGUCUGAUUAGCUAGGUGGUGAGGUAAAGGCUCACCAAGGCGACGAUCAGUAGCUGGUCUGAGAGGAUGAUCAGCCACAUUGGGACUGAGAAACGGCCCAAACUCCUACGGGAGGCAGCAGUGGGGAAUCUUGCGCAAUGGGCGAAAGCCUGACGCAGCCAUGCCGCGUGAAUGAUGAAGGUCUUAGGAUUGUAAAAUUCUUUCACCGGGGACGAUAAUGACGGUACCCGGAGAAGAAGCCCCGGCUAACUUCGUGCCAGCCGCCGCAGUAA
rnacentral:rRNA from 1 species